rnacentral:rRNA from 1 species
GAUGAACGCUGGCGGCGUGCUUAAUACAUGCAAGUCGAGCGAACAGACGAGGAGCUUGCUCCUUUGACGUUAGCGGCGGACGGGUGAGUAACACGUGGGUAAUCCACUUAUCAGACUGGGAUAACUUCGGGAAACCGGAGCUAAUACCGGAUAAUAUUCUGAACCGCAUGGUUCGAUAGUGAAAGAUGGCUUUGCUAUCACUUAUAGAUGGACCUGCGCCGUAUUAGCUAGUUGGUAGGGUAACGGCUUACCAAGGCAACGAUACGUAGCCGACCUGAGAGGGUGAUCGGCCGCACUAGAACUGAGACGCGGUCCAGACUACUACGGGAGGCAGCAGUAGGGAAUCGGCCGCAAUGGGCGGAAGCCUGACGGAGCAGCGCCGCGUGAGUGAUGAAGGUCUUCGGAGCGUAAAACUCUGUUAUUAGGGGAGAACAAACGUGUAAGUAGCUGUGCACGUCUUGACGGUACCUGGUCAGAAAGCAACGGCUAACUACGUG